rnacentral:lncRNA from 1 species
UUCGUGGUGCUCAAUGAUGCAGAGGAGAAGCAACUUGUGAACCCUGCUGUGAGAGAGUGGCUUAACGAGCUCAAGCAUGCUGUCUUUGAUGCAGAGGACUUACUGGAUGAGAUCGACACUGAAGCUUUGCGACGCAAGCUGAAAGGUGAGGAUCAAACCCACAAAUUAACCAAUAAGGUGUGGAACUUACUCCCUUCUUCUCGUAAUCAUUUUUAUCAAAGCAUGAAUGUUAAGAUACAAGAGUUGUUGCAAAGAUUAGAAAACUUCGUACAACAGAAAAUUGCUCUUGGUCUGGGAGAAGUUGCUAGGAGGAAGGUUUCACAUAGAACUCCAACAACUUCCUUGGUUCAUGAACCUUGUGUAUAUGGUAGAGAUGAAGUCCAAGAAAAUUUAUCAAAAGUGUUGCUAUCUGAUGAUGCAAGCAAGGAUGAUGUGUCUGUCCUCACCAUUGUUGGAAUGGGUGGGGUUGGCAAGACAACCCUUGCUCGAAUGCUUUACAACAACAAUAAGGUGAAAGGGCAUUUUACACUUCAAGCUUGGGCUUGUGUUUCAGAAGACUAUAAUGCUUUUAGAAUAACUAAAACUAUUCUUGAGUCAGUCACUUCAAAGCCUUGUAAUACGACGGAUCUGAAUUUGCUUCAAGUUGAAUUAAGAGAGCAGUUGAGGGGAAAGAAAUUUUUAUUUGUGUUGGAUGAUCUAUGGAAUGAAAAUUAUGGUGAUUGGGAGCGCCUCCAAACUCCUUUUAAUUCAGGGGCCAGGGGAAGCAAAGUCAUUAUAACAACACGGAACAAAAAUGUAGCAUCUUUAAUGAAAAAUGUUCCCAUUCAAUUCUUGGAACCAUUGUCGCAUGAAGAUUGCUGGUUGUUACUUGCGAAACAUGCGUUUGGAAAUGUAAACUGUAGUGAACAUCCAAGCUUGGAAGAAAUCGGCAUGAAAAUUGCACGCAAGUGCAAAGGGUUGCCUUUAGCUGCACAAACACUUGGGGGUUUGUUACGUUGCAAUAUAGAUUCUGAGGAGUGGAAUAGAAUACUAAAUAGUAAUAUUUGGUACCUACCCCAUGGUACAACUGACAUUCUUCCAGCUCUAUGGUUGAGUUAUCAUUAUCUCCCCGCUCAGUUAAAACGAUGCUUUGUUUAUUGUUCAGUUUUUCCAAAGGAUUAUGAGUUUGAAAAGGAAGAUGUAGUUCAAUUAUGGAUGGCAGAAGGCUUAGUUACUCAAGUUGAUAGUGGGAUGAUUAUGGAAUCAAUGGCUAGAAAAUACUUUGAUGAGCUAUUAUCUCGGUCACUGUUUCAAAAGUCAAGAGAACUCAGUUUCACAAUGCAUGACCUCAUUCAUGACUUGGCUAUGUUCAUCUCUAAGGGGUUUUGCCUUAGGCUGGAAGGGGUGGAAUCGCGUGAAGUUAAAAGAGCUCGUCAUUUGUCAUAUGCUAGGGGAGAAUUUGAUGUUGCUUCAAAAUUUGAGCCAUUAUAUGGGGCUAAGUGUUUGAGGACCUUCCUACCUACCUCUUUAAAACAAAAUGAAUACUAUGAAGAAUUUUAUGUAAGUAAAAAGGUUCUACAACAUUUAUUGCCAUCACUAAGAUGUUUACGAGUGCUAUCAUUGUCACGUUAUCAAAAUGUCACUGAGUUACCUGAUUCUAUUGGAAACCUCAUUCACUUGCGCUACUUGGAUCUUUCCCAUACUGCAAUUGAAAGGUUACCUGGGGUACUUUGCAAUCUCUACAACUUGCAGACGUUACUGUUGUCAAAUUGUUCCUCUCUCCUUGAAUUGCCUGCAGACAUCAGAAAAUUGAUUAAUUUACAAAAAUUAACGUUGGCAAGUUGUAGCUCUCUUACUAAAUUGCCUGCAGGAAUGGAGGAGUUGAUUAAUUUGCAUCAUCUUGAUGUCAGUGGAACUAAAAUUGAAGAGAUGCCUGUGCAAAUGGGAAGGCUGAAAAGUUUGAGACAAUUGUCUGCUUUUGUUGUGGGCAGAUCUGCUGGGUCAAGCAUAGGAGAGCUGAGGGAGUUCCCGCAGCUUCAAGGAAAACUUGCAAUUUUUAAGCUACAAAAUGUAGAUGAUGCUAGGGAUGCAUUGCAAGCCAAUUUGAAGGACAAGAAAGAUCUCAAGGAGUUAGAGUUGGCAUGGGGUGCAGAGGAUGCUGAUGAUUCCCAAAAGGAGAAAGAUGUACUUGACAAGCUCCAUCCUUGCAUGAAUAUAGAGACACUAACCAUUCGAUUCUAUGGUGGAACCAACUUCCCGAAUUGGUUAGGAGACUCGUCCUUCUCUAAUUUACAAGUCAUGCAUCUGAGUGAUUGUAGUUAUUGUUGGUCACUGCCACCAGUUGGGCGUCUACCCUAUCUCAAAGAGCUCUAUAUAGAAAGAAUGAAGUCUGUUAAGAUGAUUGGCGUGGAAUUCUAUGGCAGAAAUGGAGCUUCUCUUAUUCAGCCAUUUCAAUCACUGGAGAAGCUAAAGUUUAUGGAGAUGGCAGAGUGGGAGGAAUGGGUACCAAGUGCAAGUGGAGGCGAAUAUGGUCCAGAUUUCCCACGUCUCCUAGAGCUGAUUCUAACCAACUGUCCGAAGCUGAGCAGAAGCUUGCCUUGUCAUCUGCCUUGCUUGAAGAAGCUUACGGUGUGUGGGUGUGAGGUUUUACAUGAUGAAGGGGCCAAUACUACAACAACCAGUGGUCUUAACUACAGAUCUCUUGAAGAGUUGGAAAUAGAAGGUGGAUGCCAAAAGGGUCUGUUAUCAUUACUCGUGGAAAUUGGAAAUUUCGUUGACAUACAAUGCUUGCCCAAUCGCAAUUGUCUUCAACGUUUGAGUCUCUGGAAUUGUCCAACGCUGUCUUCGUUCCCUAAAGAUGGGUUACCCACUACAUUGACAACACUUUAUAUAGGGAACUGUAAGAGAUUAGAAUUCCUACCUGACGAGAUGUUGGCCAAAUUAACAUCGCUCGAAUCCUUGUGGAUAGGGGAUAGCUGUGAUUCACUAAGGAACUUCCGGGUGAGCAUUUUUCCCAAAUUGAAGAAGCUUGACAUUAGGGGUAGUGAGAAUCUGGA